rnacentral:misc_RNA from 1 species
AUGCAGACGGUUAGGCACAAUAUACCGUUUGGUCGUCAUUUUCUGCAAAUAUGGUAUCUGCAUUUCUAGUUGUGUUGGUUUUAACGGUAUAUAUUCACGGCCAAGAGGUCAAUGGCAGUCCAAACGUCUUUGAUACUACUGUUAAGUCAUUAUUUGACAAAAACUUUGAAAACUUCGAGGCAUUCGAUGUUUCUACGUUAAGACACGGUGAUCAUGAACAAUCCAAACGAUCCGAUCUCCACGAGUUUCGGAGAAGUGUCUCCAAGAUGUCAAAUCUUGCUUUCGCUGCAUUUGGGAAAGACUAUAAAAUGAGGAUUUUCAAACCCAAACCAGUUUUACAUCCUGAUAUCAAAAUAGAAACGAUAGACAAAGACCACGCCCGACGCUGGGAUAAGGCUGUGCCCGACUGUUUCUCUGUCGGGACAGUAGGCGAGGAUUGGACAUCAAACGAAGGCCAUGUUUCUCUCUCACACUGCGACGGACUGGAAGGCAGAUUCAGCACAAAAGACGGCGAUUUCCAUAUCAAAGAGAUCCCACAAGGCUACAAUAGACGUCUUAAUUUCUCAGAUGACGAGACAGUACUAGUAGUUGCGAAAGAAAAAGGGCUGGGGAAGAAUACAAAAUUAGAAAAUGUUCGUAAAAAUGCUAUACCAUUUUUGCUCCAGAUGACAACAAUUCGGUGCUUAAUGACUACAUGCGAACACUGACGUCACAACAUAAGCGGACCACGCCCCACAGGAUGGUCAUGGUUGAGCUAGCCGUGUACACCGACAGCCUAUUCACCAAGAUUAUCCCGGCCAAGGACAUGGCUAAAAGGAUUGAACUGAUGAUCCUGAAGUAUAAUGGGGUUCAGAUGGAAUGGUCCCGCUCCAACAUCCUCGGUUAUGACGUCCACUUUCAAAUUAAAUACAUUGGGUUUUUCGAAACAAAUCCGUCUUUCUAUAACAUGUCCUCUGUUCUAAGUGAAUCGCUCAGUACGUUCUGUACCGGGAUGAGGAACAACCCAAUACCAUACGACCUCAUCUUCCUUCAUACGGGAAUGCAUACUGACGUCACCGGAAGAGCCUUCCAGUCCAGCGCCUGCAAUCACCUCUACCGGUGUGCUGUGGAAAGUUCCGGGUCGAUAUUUGAAUACAAGUCAACUGCUCACGAAAUAGGACAUAGUCUUGGAAUGUAUCACGACAGCACUAGAGGGUGUACCGGAAGUGACGUUGGUUUAAUGGGAGGAUAUGGAGCAGGAUGGAGUUCAUGUAGUGUCAAUGAUCUAAAUGUAUUUUUACAAAGCAGUAAUGCUCGUUGCCUGUUCGAGGAGAAUGUUGCUGUGCGUGGAAAUGUACACUAUGAUCCCCUCAAACCUAAAUUAAUUGGGCAGGAGUACAGUUUAGACGAGGUUUGUGAGAAGUUGUAUGGACCUAAUUUCCGUUUCCGCAGAUUUCCAUAUCUUGGAAACUGUGAACAGUACAGUUGCAGUAAUUUGAACGAGGGUCCGCUGUUUGGUCAGAUAUUUACCCAGUGGAGGGAGAUCCCAGGCUCUUACUGCGGGAAUGGAAAGAUCUGUUUCAACCAGAAGUGCGUUACAUUUGCUGAAGCUCGUCAAACCCCCGCUGUGGUCAGGCCUGGGGGUUGGGGUCCGUGGACAGACUGGUACCCCUGUUCUAGAAGCUGUGGGACGGGGCUGACCUACAGAAGAAGAACGUGUAACAAUCCGAGUCCUCUGAACAGUGAAGGAUGCGAUGGCGGUAACGAUGAAGGUUACGAAGCGAGGACCUGUAAUAAGCAGCCUUGCCCAGGUGACAGUGCGGACACUAAUUCACUCGUAAACCAAAGAGCUUCUGAAACCUGUCGCCGAAUGCUGACAAAUGGCGCCCUAAACUCUACCAUGUACACCGCAGUGGGAAAAGCUUAUAACUCCCAUGCUCAUGGCAAGUGCGAAGUUUCCUGUGCCCCUGUGUCAGGCUACAAGACGCCAACAUUUACCAGGUUUGGUCUGAUGCCACAAGGUGCACCUUGUCCUGGAAUUCUUGACAGGAUGGACCUUAAAGAUUGGCCGCGCAGACAGGGGUACAGCGCAGGGUGUUUGGAUGGCUACUGCCAGUUGUUUGGCUGUGACGGUGUUAUGAAUGGCGGUACGUUUGACGAAUGUGGCGUCUGUAACGGGGACGGGAUGUCGUGUGACGUCGUUGAGGGGACCUUUACAGAGUUAUCUACCGCUGGUUCGAGAAAAGUGAUUGCCCAGUUACCUGUUGGAGCAUAUAACAUACAGUUCUGGUUUGAUUACCGAGCCAUGAAGCAAAACUUUCUCGAGGUAUACAGUAAGGAUGGUGCCGUUGUUCUGGCUAGCAUGAUAGGAAGCAGUUGGAUCUGGGACACAGGGCGCAACCCUGUAACGUUUGCUGGCACAUACUGGCACUACUUCUUUCAUGACCAGUUCCUGCACGCCAAGGGACCCAUCACGGAACCGGCCAUCAUCCAGCUUUUCCAAAAUAAAGAUUUUAACAACGUUGGUAUCCGUUUUGGAUAUUCUCUUCCAAAAUCUGCGAGUUCAUGCCACGGAACUUGCUCCAAUGGAGGGACGUUUAAUAGAAAUCUUUGUGCUUGUGAUUGCCCGAGAGGAUUUUAUGGCAAUGACUGCACCAGUCGCUGUAACACUUUCUGUUAUAACGGCGCGACAGUCGACCAAACAACGUGCGCCUGUCAGUGUAAGGAACACCAGACCGGAAGUAGAUGUAAAUGCCAGUCCGGAUACACUGGGAUCAAUUGUACAGAGCAUGUGUAAACUGAUCAAACCUAAAUUAAAUAAACAAUACUAUGUGUC